CUCGCGCGCCUCCUCGCCGCCGGGCGCUCCCCCCUCCAGAGCGCGCCUCCUCGCCGCCGGGCGCCACCCCCUUCCCCGCGCGCCUCCUCGCCGCCGGGCGCCGCCCCCUCCAGAGCGCUCCUCCUCGCCGCCGGGCGCCGCCCCCUCCAGAGCGCGCCUCCUCGCCGCCGGGCGCCGCUCCUCCUGCGCGCGCCUCCUCGCCAUCGGGCACCGCCCCCUCCUCGCGCGCCUUUUCUCCGCCAGACGCCGACCCCACCCUGCUGUCGGGCGUCAGCCGUCGGGAUCCAGCGCCCAACACCACCGUCUCCAUGUGUUGUCCUGCUGUUUCGCGCGGGAGGUGUUGGCCUCCUGCACCCGCCGGAUCCGGCCAUCCCCUUCCGUUCACCUCCGCCGCCCGAGGCCGUUCACCACCGCCACCAGUUCCCGUCCAACACCGGCCCCUCAAUCCGCGCGUCAACGACGCCCCUGUCAACCCACGCGAAGCUUCAAAAGAGGAGGCCCGCUUGCCCGCCUCAUGGCCCAUAAGUGGGCUGGAACCAAUGCUUCGCUGAAGCAAUUUCACGGGCCCAGGCGCAAAAUUAGCACCCCCGGGAAGCCCAGCCACGGAGUUGGAGGAGAUAAAGCAGGGGAUUGUUGAUGUGCCUCCCUGAUUGUUGCUCUCCUGUUGCUGGUGCCGAGCUCAGGGGGGUGGUCGCCGGCGGCGCCAUUCUCGACCCAGCUUCCGCCCUGCACGCAGCCAGCCUUGGAGACCACCCGCCACCACGGCCGUCGUGGCCCACCCCCUACAUCGACGGUGCUCAAGCGGCUCUUCUCACUGGCUCCUGCGACUCCCUCCUUCGCCAUGGAUACAACCAUCAUUGCAGGUGUGGAGAACCAAAAAGUUCUAAUAAUGGUGAAUCAGAAGUUCAAGUACAGUAAUCCGAGGGCGUGGGGGCAACUGCUGAUAGAGGCCGAGUCAAAGUGUCGUGACUGCUGAUGCAGAUCUUCAGCAUGGACUUUGAUGGAGAUACUCCUCUGAUGAGUCCUACUUCCAGAAGAUAGGAGUGAGAUGCGAUGGGACCUGACCAGAUGCUGAUGUUGGACUAGAAAAUUUAGUGAAAAACUAUUCUGUGCUGAAAGAACAGCUAUGCUUUGUCGGACUAGCACACCACGAGCGAUGGACUUGAAGGAUUUCAGUCAAUCAAGCUAGUUGUCGAAAAGGUAGUGUUCGCCGUCGACGGUGCUGCCAUUUGAGUUUAUGGCUCUGUCCAUGGAGGCUGCCUGGAAGUUUCUCUGUUUCCAUGUACGGUGUCGGUGUUCCAUGACAGCGGCCGUGACACGUGAUGUUCCUUGGUUAAGAUUGGUUUACUUUGGGUCUCACAUUAGGAGGACAGACACGGCGUGCAUUCAGUCUCAGAACCUGAAACUAACCUGACUGAGGCACAAGGAAGGAAGGGCCACCGUCCGAGGCGAUGCGUACAUAUAUACACCCAGGAGUCAGGACAGGACACAACAUCCGACGCGGCGUAUGUACUACACUGAGGACUCCCUCGUCACUGACAAAGACAAGAAAACCGGCAGCAUCCUCAGCCAGGUAGGUGUGAACCACACAGACGCUUACAACCAAAGCUAGCCGACGGCGCAUAAGCUACCUGCAAAAGAGAAGCCCUUCUUACAUCGACACCAUCUUAAUUUUUAUUCAGUUCAAUUUCCAAUUUUACUUCAGUUAAUUCUUAUUUUUAGUUUAGUCAGUUUCUUAUUUUAUUUUCCUUCAAUUUCUAAUUCUUUUUCAGUUCAGUUUCUAAUUUUACUAAAGUUCAUUUUCUAAUUCCAAACAGUUUGUGUAAAUUCCCAUCGAGCAGGUGUGCACGGCGAGCGGCUACUGAACUUGUGCGGCUGCUGCUUUUGGAUUGCCUAGGAAGCACAUCAUUAUAGAAGGCAAAAAUCUGUAACCUAUAUAAUUCAUGUGUGUUCUGACUUCUUGUUUCUCUAAAGCGGCCAAAUCCCGGUGCACCUGGUAGCUCAAACUUACACCAGAUGGCCAGUGACCAACUUCCCUGCCUCUACAAGCUCCUCGGGGAUGACUUGGUGGUAGCUGGGAUCCCCUAAAGCGGCCAAAUCCCGGUGCACCUGGGCGCCGCUCGUGAUCCCCUCUCCUUCAGCUCCACUUCGCGUCGUCGUCAGUCCACAGGAGUAGGGGCGGUGUGCCCAUCAACAAAAAAGAACAGAAGGUCAUCGAAGCGGCCGCCAGCUCUCCCGCGUGAUGCAGCAACUGAUGUUGUUCUCUUUCUCAUACAUGCGCGUGUGCAGCAGCAACCAUGACUCACUCACUCUCUCUCAUUUGCGCAUGCGACAUCUCACUCAUGUGUUGCAGCUCCUGGUUGGGCUCCUGGAUCGGUGUCUAUGUUGUGUGUGUGCAGUUCGACGUGAUUUGGUUGGACAGGAAGGGAGAAGCAACAGGGAGAGUACGGGUUGGCUGAUGAUGGCUGAUGACGAACCUGCUGCUGUCUUGCUCUAUAAUGGUCUCUGAUCCAAUGUAUUUUAAUUUCUCUGCGGUGUAGCUUGCUAUAAAAGAUGAAAUAUAAGAGUUCAUUGUGCAAAAACUUGUGGGAUCCAUGUAAGGUGAACGAGAAAGUAUAGUUAAAAAGUUUGAUA